rnacentral:tRNA from 1 species
GGAGAGGUGUCCGAGUUGGCCGAAGGAGCGCGAUUGGAAAUCGCGUAGGCGGUGUCAAGCCGUCUCGAGGGUUCGAAUCCCUCCCUCUCCG